GUUUAUAUUAAACUUAUUUUUUUUGUUAUAUAUAUAUAUAUAUAUAUAUAUAUGUGUGUGUGUGUGUGUGUGUGUGUGUGUGUGUGUGUGUGUGUGUGUGUAAUGAAACUAAACUCAACAUAUGGUAAAAAAAUUGUAAAAUCUUCCCACUUAGUUACAUUUGGAUGUAGUAACGUAUAAGUAUUUAUAGUUAAAUUCAGGCUAAAUCAAUGGCAUGCACUGUCUACACCCAACUAUGACCAUAGGAACAAUUUUAUGAACCACAUUUUUCUUCAAACACAGGAGGUGAAAUAUUAUUGUGAUUUGACCAAAAAGCUACUUUAACUGUCGCGCCUAUUGUUUUUGCGGUCCACUUAAAGACUUUUCAGUGUGUUUUCCUGGUUUUCAACACUACAAUCAGUUUUGAUUAAACUCCAGUGCAAUAGGUGGCGGUAUGCAUAGUGCUGCCCCUCAGUAAACAGGAGAACAGGAGGUUGGGCUAUUUCCGCUUUAGAAUAUGCGCACAGAAUGGCAAGCGGACGCAUCGCUGGAAAACACAGAGAGAGAAAGCCCUAUAAAAGGGAGGCUUGUUGUUAUUUCGGAUUCUCAGACUGGCUAUGAAACAAUCCGUUUGUGAAGAGACAGAUGCUGAAACCCAUCAUAACAUUGGAGGAUUUUGGGCCAUACUUACAUGUGUCAUCUGGCUGGAAAUGACACAAAAAGCAGUUAUUUUGCACAUUUCCACUGGGAUUUUGGACCACUCCUCUGCAAAGAUCUCCAGGUCCUUGAUGUUGGAAGGCUUCCUGUCCAUCAAUCUGGUCUUCAGUUGUCUUAACACAUUUUCAAUUGGAUUCAGGACUGGACUCUGGCUUGGACCACUUUUGAUGUGUGUUGUGGGUCGUUAGAUAACUCGUAACAUACAGCAAAAGGGGUCAAGAAAUGGUUGGCAGAGAACAAUAUCAAUAUUUUAGAGUGGCCAAGUUUCAAACUCUGCUCUAGUUUGUCUUCAUUUUUCAUAUUGCCUGUGCAUAAUUUUGCUGGCUUCCAUGGCAGCUAACACUAUAAAUCAGGGGUCACCACACUCAUUACUGGAGGACCAGUGUUCUGCAGAGUUUAGCUCAAACUUGCCGCAGUUCACCUGCCUGAAAGUUUUUAGUAUACC
ensembl:lncRNA